rnacentral:misc_RNA from 1 species
UACAGAGGGUGCAAGCGUUGUUCGGAAUUACUGGGCGUAAAGGGCGCGUAGGCGGUUUAGUAAGUCAGAUGUGAAAGCCCGAGGCUCAACCUCGGAAUUGCAUUUGAAACUACUAGGCUAGAGUGCAGUAGAGGCAGGCGGAAUUCCUAGUGGAGAGGUGAAAUUCGUAGAUAUUAGGAGGAACACCGGUGGCGAAGGCGGCCUGCUGGGCUGUUACUGACGCUGAGGCGCGAAAGCGUGGGGAGCAAACAGG